GUCAAACGCAAGAGUUUCUCCUCCACUGAAAUUCAUGCCCACCUCUCGGCGGCUCGUACUCUGAGGAGCGAAGUGAAGCAGGGAAACCAAUACACCGUGAUAUGAUCUUAAAUCCCCUACUAGAUCUGUUAUCAUUUUGAGGAUGGGGACGCUUGUCCUGUUGGAAGGCGCGAUCUUGUUCCUCUUGACCUACUCAUAUAAUGUUUGGGGAGAACUGCCUGCGCCUACUAAUGUGACAUUGGACACGCUGAACACACACUAUGUGCUAAGGUGGGACUGGGACAGAGAACAUGCCGGAAACCAGAACGUGACCUUCACAGCUCAGUACCUGGCUAAGUACAAGUUGCGGCGGCCGCGACAGGACUGGGUGACCGUGUGUGUGAGUGUGAGCGUGUCGGAGAGGGAGUGUGACUUCACCACCGCUGACCUCAACUACCUGGGCAUCUUUGUGCUGCGCGUGCAGGCCAGUGCACAGACACACACUCACACAGGCACACACACACUCCAGUCCUCCUGGGUCAACUACAGCUUCUGCCCUGACAGUGAUGCUGCCCUAGGUCCUCCUUCUCAUGUUGAAUUGUCUGGUCAGGGGCGGGGCUUACUGGAGGUCAAGAUAUCUGACCCUGUAACCCAUAGCAACGAGUCAAUGAGGCUCCAUGUCCCCUCCAUGUACUACCGCAUCCAAUACUGGAGACAGGACACACACACUCAGGCUGAGCUGGUAAACAGUGACCCUGCCCUGGUGACACUGUCUGGUCUGCUGGAGUGGGUUGUGUACUGUGUGAGAGUCCAGACGCGCUACGACUUCUACCGCAAGUACUCCGCCUACACCGCCCCUCAGUGCAUACGCACACAAGGCCAGACUCCGUACUGGCAGGUGGCGCUGUGGUUCCUGCUCUCCCUGGGGGUGGUCUUUGCAGUGGUGCUGCUGUCUGCCUUCAGCUUCCUCCGCUUCUUCGGGGUCUUAAAGUCCACCUACUUUCCCAGCAACCAGCUGCCAAUCCACAUACAAGAGUAUCUUCAGGAUGCAGCCUCUGACAGGCCACGCCUCCUGACCCCAGAGUCAGAUUCGGAGCUUCUGAUUGGCCAACUGGACAUCUGCCCUGAGGUGGCGGUUGCCCCAGCGACGGGUGUCCUGGAGAUGCAGUCAGAGCUGGAGUAUGCGCAUCACGAUCGCCAUGGCAGCGGAGAUUCGGGCAUGUACUCGGCUGAGGAGGCGUCAGGAGGGGGCGUGGCCUUACAGGAGACGGAGAAGCACAAGGGAAGAGGAGAGAGGGAGGGAGAGAGGAAGAAUGAAGAAGCAGAGGAAGAGGAAGAUGAAGGAGUGAGAGACGUUUGCGUUUAAGGCACGGGGAUAAACCGGAGAAACUCAAGCCUUCUUCUAGAAGCCAUUUUUUUUACUCUUUCAGGUUUUUUUGUCAAUUUCCUUUUUUUCCUUCUGUCUUUCCGUCUCUCUUUCAUUCAUUCUUUCUUUCCCUUCAUCUCUCUCCUCUCCUUUAAAUUUGAAAAGUGACCCAGAAGAAUGAACCAAUCAGCUUGAGGCUUUGAAAAGGGACCCAGAAGUGUGAGCCAAUCAGCUUGAGCAUUUGAAAAGGGACCGAGAAGAGUGAGCCAAUCAGCUUGAGCCUUUGAAAAGGGACCCAGAAGUGUGAGCCAUGUGUGUGUGUGUGUGUGUGUGCACUGCAGGAAAUAGCCUAACAGGCCUCAUAAUGUACUGGAUAAUCUACUGCGAGAGUGUGUGUGUGUGUGUGUGUGUGUGUGUGUGUGUGUGCACUGCAGGAAAUAGCCUAACAGGCCUCAUAAUGUACUGGAUAAUCUACUGCGAGAGUGUGUGUGUGUGUGUGUGUGUGUGUGUGUGUGUGCACUGCAGGAAAUAGCCUAACAGGCCUCAUAAUGUACUGUAUAAUCUACUGCCCUCCGUGGGGAGGGUUUUCACAAAUCACACCCUGCUUUUUAGUUGAUGUUUUUGGAGUGUGUGUGGUUGAUUUUGCAAGUGUGUGUUCAGUGUCUGCUGCUGAGUGUGUGUGUGUGCGUGUGUGUGUGUGUGUGUGUGUGUGUGUGUGUUCAGUGUCUGCUGUGGUUAGCACGGCUUGGGACUUCCUGGCUGGUGUGUCCUACAGCGCCUUAAAGAGGCGUCUGUGUGUGUGUGUGUGUGUGUGUCUGUCUGUGAGU